rnacentral:rRNA from 1 species
AGAGUUUGAUCCUGGCUCAGGACGAACGCUGGCGGCGUGCUUAACACAUGCAAGUCGAGCGGUAAGGCCCUUCGGGGUACACGAGCGGCGAACGGGUGAGUAACACGUGGGUGAUCUGCCUCGCACUCUGGGAUAAGCCUGGGAAACUGGGUCUAAUACCGGAUAUGACCUGCCUCUGCAUGGGGGUGGGUGGAAAGAUU